ACAAAUACUAUCCCACUUUAGAAUCUGAAAGUGCAGCGGAAAGUAAAGCAGCAAGGAACAGAGCAGAUUCAACAGGGAAAACACACGAUUUGUGACACACGUGCUAGCACAGGAUAAUCACUUAAGAUUACUCACAUAAGCACAACAAAAAACGCAAGUUGGUAAACAGCAACAAAGUCCCAAUCCUAGACUGCACCAGUUGGCAGUUUUCUAGAAAUUUAGAUUGCAACCUAUGCUGCGCCAGUCGGCAGCCUCUAGGAAUUAAACAACAGGGAGGUUUCGCCAAUUUACCAGAGCGAGGCUUAAGAUCAAAACCUCGUCAUACCUGCGGCGAUCUGGAUCGCUGAUUAAGGAGAGCCACGGCGCGGAGGGUGCGACAGCGAGGCUAGCGAGGCUCUGAUACCACUGUUGUGGAUAUCUCGCCCCGCCGUCGAUUCACCGUUCUCGCACGCCGAAGCCUAAUUUUAGUAAUCUUUCCUGAAGCUCAGCUGCACUCGGAACUCUUGCGAAGACCACGCACACGUUAGCUCACUGAUUGUUCGAGCUAGACGUGCUCUUUAGUUUCCUACACAAAGAGAAAACACCAAGAGACUAAGUUAGAAGGUGCAGCUGCAACAGAGAGAUAAAGUAACAGGAAAUAGAAGAGGUGGGGCAGCUGAGUGGCUGCCCGGAAACGGAGCAGCAGCGGCUGUCCGGAAACGACGCGGAGCAGCUGUCGGAGACGACGCAGCCACAGCUGGCAAGACGACGCAGCAGCGGCAGAUGGCGAGACGACGCAGCAGCAGCAGUUGGCGAGACGACGCAGCAGCAGCAGUUGGUGAGACGACGCAGCAGCGACUCUCUCCUCGGCUCAGAACUCGGUCUCUCUCAAACCCAAAUGUAGUCCUCCUCCGGCAGCACCUCGUUCCGGCAACUCCACUGCCAAAUCACCCUCAACCUCACUCAGGCUAAUCCACACAGAGAUAGCUCAGUUCGGACGAAGAAGACACACACAAGCACUAAGCUUGUUCACACUUCGCCCAAGACACGGAGAUGACAGGAGGUAUGGUGAAGGUACAGGCAAGGCUUCUCUCUUUCACACAGAAGACGCAGAGGGAAGGGAGGAGAGAACGAGAGAUAGGUUAUCAGCUAGGGUUCCACAAUUUAACCAAGGAAGAUGGGCUGCCAGUUGUGGGCUAGGUGAUGGUAAUGGGCUACCAGGAAUGGGCUUGAUUGGGCCAACAAUUUCAACAUG
rnacentral:lncRNA from 1 species